rnacentral:rRNA from 1 species
UAGGGAAUCUUCGGCAAUGGGGGGAACCCUGACCGAGCAACGCCGCGUGAGUGAAGAAGGUUUUCGGAUCGUAAAGCUCUGUUGUUAAGGAAGAACGAGUGUGAGAAUGGAAAGUUCAUACUGUGACGGUACUUAACCAGAAAGGGACGGCUAACUAUGUGCCAGCAGCCGCGGUAAAACAUAGGGGGCAAGCGUUGUCCGGAAUCACUGGGCGUAAAGGGCGCGCAGGCGGUCUGUUAAGUCAGAUGUGAAAGGUUAGGGCUCAAGCCUGAACGUGCGUCAGAUACUGGCAAACUUGAGUAUGGAAGAAGUAAGUGGAAUUCCUGGUGUAGCGGUGAACUGCGUAGAUAUUAGAAGGAACACCAGUGGCGAAGGCGACUUAGUGGGCCAUGACUGACGCUGAGGCGCGAAAGCGUAGGGAGCAGACAUG